GAAGAAACAAAAUGCUUGCUUGAUCUCCUAUAAUAAUUGUUAGUAAUCCAUGGUCACAUAAAUAACACGGCACCACUUAAACGUUAAAUAAUGAACUCGUGCACUGGUUUAUUGACCACAUGUUUACGCAAAAACAGAUUUGGUGUUUUGAUGCUGCAGUAACAAUGUUUUUGCUAGCGCGAUACAGCGGUACAUAUCCAUUGACGUUUGGUGCCCUAUCAGCAUUGUUGUCAUUUUGCGCUAGCAAAAUUGCUAGCGCAUUUAACCCAGGUCGUUCCGUUCAGGAAAAAAGCUCGAGAUAUGACGAUAAUCACCCAAGAACUGAUGGGAGCAAGCAGAUUGCUAGAAAACUCCAGAAACCGAGUCUCGGAGCACCCAAGAAGCAGGAACCUGAAUGUGCCACCACCUACGUGAAUGGAAUGAUCAUUUUCGACGAAUUCGACUAUCGCUAAAUGACACAAUACCCAGGAAUUUCGGCCCGCAACCGAACCCGCAGCAGAGAAUCGUUGACACAAGAGGGCCAUCACUUAGGAGACAACUAUGGGUUUCACUCCAGAACGGGAAUGUGAUAAGAGUUAAAAAAACAUGUAUUAUAGUGAAUAAUCUUUCAAUCUAACAAUUUUUGAUUUAAGGUGAAAUGAAUUUGAAACGACAGUUCAAAUUUUCAAGAGCAUUAAUCUGGAGAACCAGACAUCCGUUCGAGCUGAAGACUUGAUCGAUUUGUCACUCGCUGGUGGUGACCAAUCGAUCAAAUUUUCAGCGUGAACGGUGUCUGGGUUUUUAGAUUUGUGCUCAAGAAAAUUUGAAGUUUGGUUUCGAUGCUAAUAACAAACGUCUUGCAUAUAAUAAAAUAAGUAGUAGCAUCCUAAAUAA
rnacentral:lncRNA from 1 species